rnacentral:rRNA from 1 species
CCUACGGGAGGCAGUAGUAGGGAAUAUUAGAAAUGGACGAAAGUCUGAUCUAGCAACACCGCGUGUGCGAAGAAGGCCUUCGGGUCGUAAAGCACUUUUUGGAGGGAAUAGGAAGGAAUGUCCUUCCAGAAUAAGUCUCGGCUAACUACGUGCCAGCAGCCACGGUAACACGUAGGAGGCAAACGUUAUCCGGAUUUACUGGGCGUACAGCGCGGGUAGGUGGUACUGUAAGUAGGGCGUGAAAGCUCCUGGCUCAACUGGGAGAGGCCGUGCUAAACUACAGAACUAGAGGAUGGUAGAGGGAGGUGGAAUUCCAGGUGUAGCGGUGGAAUGCGCAGAUAUCGGGAGGAACACCGGUGGCGAAGGCGGCCUCCUGGACCAUUCCUGACACUCAGACGCGAAAGCUAGGGUAGCAAACG